rnacentral:rRNA from 1 species
GCCUUCGGGUUGUAAACCGCUUUUGUUAGGAACGAAAAGGCUCUGGCUAAUACCCGGGGAUGAUGACCGUACCUUAAGAAUANGCNCCGGCUCACUACNUGNCAGCAGCCUCGGUAAAAUUUACGGUGCGAGCGUUAAUCGGAAUUACUGGGCGUAAAGCGUGCGCAAGCCGUUNUGCAAGACAGGAGUGAAAUCCCCGGGCUUAACCUGGGAACUGCACUUGNGACUGCUGGGCUGGAGUACGGCAAAGGGGGAUGGAAUUCCGCGUGUAGCAGUGAAAUGCGUAGAUAUGCGGAGGAACACCGAUGGCGAAGGCAAUCCCCUGGGCCUGCACUGACGCUCAUGCACGAAAGCGUGGGGAGCAAACAGGAUUAGAUACCCUGGUAGUCCACGCCCUAAACGAUGUCAACUGGUUGUUGGGCCUUUCUG